rnacentral:lncRNA from 1 species
UAUGAAAUUCUGGGUUGGAAAUUGUUUUCUUUAAGAAUGUUGAAUAUUGGCCCCAAAUUGCUUCUGUCUUGUAAGGUUUACACUGAGAGGUCUGUUGUUAUACUGAUGGAUUUCCCUUUGUAGGUGACCCAGCCUUUCUCUCUGGCUGCGCGUAACAUUUUUUCUUUUCUUUCAACCUUGGAGAAUCUGACGAUUAUGUGCCUUGGCGUUGAUCUUCUUGUGAAGUAUCUUACUGGGGCUCCCUAGAUUUCUUGAAUUUGAAUCUCGGCCUGUCUUUCUAGAUUGGAGGAAGUUCUCCUGGAUGACCUCCCGAAGUAUGUUUUCCAACUUGGGUCUGUCCUCCCUGUCUCUCAGCACUUUGGGAGGCCUAGGCAGGCAGAUCACCUGCGGUCAGGAGUUCAAGACCAGCCUGGCCAACAUGAUGAAACACCAUCUCUAUGAAAAAUACAAAAAUUAGCUGGGUGUGGUGGCAGGCACCAGCUACUUGGGAGGCUGAGGCGGUAGAAUUGCUUGAACUCAGGGGCAGAGGUUGCAGUGAGCUGAGAUUGCACCGCUGCACUCCAGCCUGGGCAACAGAGUGAGACUCUGUUUCAAAAAAAAAGAAAAGAAAAGAAAAGAAAAGAAAAAAAGUGCAAAGAAAGAGUUUUGGUUGCAUUGGUUGCAUGAUAAUCAUUGUUGGUUGUUGAAGUAUGUUUAAGUAAAUUACUUUACCUCCUUAAUUCCCCCACCAAGUCUUAUCAUAGGAAGGUAAUUCUAUUGACAGAAGAGAGAAGGAAAGCUCAUCUGACUUUAAUACAUUACUCAAAGUGGAGCCAAGAUUUGAUAUAAGAUUUUCAGAUUUCAGAUUGAAUGCAUCUGCUUCAAUCACUAAAGGACAGAAAAAGACCUUAACACAACUAACAGGAAUAUAACCUGGAGAAGUAUGAGUGCUGAGAACACAGGUGUGGGGCACAGGAAAAGGAAUAUUUUGAGUCUCCUUCCUGGAAAGAAAGUACUUAGGGGAAGUUUCUAAUUUCCAGAGGCUUAGAAGAGCACAGAUAAGGGAAUGGUGACUCUGCCAGGAGAAACUGACUAUUGCCUGACCACUGCUCAAACUAGGGCGAGCUCAGCAAAGACGCAGGGCCCACAGAGAGUCCUUGGUGAGGCACCACUCUCAGGACUUGCAAAUGUAAAGGGUGAUUCAGGUGAUGGACAGGAGGAAAAAGAGAAAACAGAAACUGAAGAAGAUGGAGAGGUUCUUGAAGAGGAAUGCUUCAAGUUACAGUGGCUUGACUUCUUGAUUCUGUCUUAAUUCCAAACAAGGUCCUGACCGCAAGUGAUCGUUGGGAGGCCAAGGCCUCAUAAAGUGCUGAGAUUACAGGUGUAAGCCAUGGCGUUCAUCAUGCCACUGCACUCCAGCCUGGGUUACUGGGUAAUAUUUUUUUAAAAUAUUUUAGACUCUGUCUAAAAAAAAAAAAAAAAAAAAAAGAAAGAAAGAAAGAAAGCUUCCUCUUGUAUGGGGAAAGUCACUACUGUAUGUUAAGACUAGGCAUUGAUUUUCAAAUGAUUCACAUUUUCCAUGUAAGAAGAAAAAAGAGCUACGUGUUAUCCUCACAAAUUUGCUGUUAAGUCCAUAUAAUUUAACUACCAGUUGCUUGAUUUUUAGGGUUCUCCAGAGAAAUAGAACCAAUAGGAUAUUGAAACUGAGGACUUUUGCUCAUUUUGCUUUUGUGUAUAUAUGUGUGUAUAUGUGUAUGUAUAUAUACACAA